rnacentral:tRNA from 1 species
GCCUGGGUGGCUCAGUCGGUUGAGCAUCUGACUUCAGCUCAGGUCAUGAUCUCACAGUUCAUAGGUUUAAGCCCCACAUCAGGCU